CCCAUUAGAAGAAGGCUUUGGAGAGGGUGACGAGGAGGUUUGCCAGACGGUGCCUGGGUUUCAGGGAGAGACUGGAUAGACUUUGAUUAUUUUCCCCAGAGGCUAGAGGGUGAGGGGGGACUUGAUAAGGAUUAUGAUGUAACGUUAUGAGAGCCGUGGACAGAGCAGACAGCCAGAACAUUUAUGCCAGGAUUAGAGGGCACAGCUUUAAGGUGA